rnacentral:rRNA from 1 species
UACGUAGGGGGCGAGCGUUGUCCGGAUUUAUUGGGCGUAAAGAGCUCGUCGGUGGUUUGGUAAGUCGGAUGUGAAAUCUCCAGGCUCAACCUGGAGGGGUCAUUCGAUACUGCCAUGACUAGAGUUCGGUAGGGAGUGUGGAAUUCCUGGUGGAGCGGUGAAAUGCGCAGAUAUCAGGAGGAACACCCGUAGCGAAGGCGGCACUCUGGGCCGAUACUGACACUGAGGAGCGAAAGCGUGGGGAGCGAACAGG